UGAUCCCUUUCGCUUUAUGGCGUGCUCGUUUGGGUUGGGUGUCGGCUAAGAGUGCUCGGAGCGUGGAUUAACUCCAGUCUCCAAUCAGGUGUGUAUUUAUCACUACUCUUGUUGUUGGAUGGCUACUUCGGGCCGCGAUGGGCCGAAAGGGGCCAUGUGGGCCCAAUGGGCCUACGGGCCCAAUUGGAUAAGUUGUUUGAUUGUGUAGUAAAUAUUGGACUAGGCUAGGUGAAUCGCAUAUCUGUGGCUAGGUUUGGGCUAAAAGGGCCACACGAGAAUGUGGGCCCAUUUGGGCCGAGAAUAGGCUUUAGGCCCAUUCGUAUUAUUAUCCAUGUUUAGAAUACUUUAGUUUACAAAUUACUGAAAUGCCCUCGACUUGUAAAAUUACCAAAGUACUCUCGAUUUACAGAAUUACCGUUUUACCCUUGAUUUACAAAAUUAUCGUUUUACCCUCGAUUUUUAAAAUUACCGUUUUACCAUCGAUUUACAGAAUUACCGUUUUACCCUCAGUUUACAGAAUUACCGUUUUACCCUCGAUUUACAAAAUUUUUAUUUUACCCUCAGUUUACAGAAUUACUGUUUUACCCUCGAUUUAUAGAAUUACCGUUUUACCCUCGAUUUGUAAAAUUACCGUUUUAUCGUCGAUUUAUAGAAUUACCGUUUUACCCUCAGUUUACAAAAUUACUAUUUUACCCUCAAUUUACAGAAUUACCAUUUUACCCUCAGUUUACAGAAUUACUGUUUUACCCUCGAUUUCAGUUUACAGAAUUACUGUUUUACCCUCGAUUUAUAGAAUUACCGUUUUACCCUCGAUUUGUAAAAUUACCGUUUUACCCUUGAUUUACAGAAUUACUGGUUUACCCUCAGUUUACAAAAUUAUCGUUUUACCCUCGAUUUAUAGAAUUACUGUUUUACCCUUGAUUAUGAAAUUACCGAAAUACCCCUGUAGGGUAGAAUUUUCGAAAUACCCCUAUAGGGUAGAAUUACUGAAAUACCCUUAUAGGAUAGAAUUACCAAAAUACCCCUGUAGGGUAAAAUUAUCGAAAUACCCUUGUAGGGUAGAAAUAUCGAAAUACCCCUGUAGGGUAGAAUUACCGAGAUACCCUUGUGGGGUAAAAUUACCAUUUUGCCCCUAGUGUGUUAAAUGACUGUUUUGCCCUUGUGGGCAAGUGACUGACUUGGACUGUGUGUUUGACGGAUUUGAUUGUGAAUAUAUGUUGGUGAUAUGAAUGACUUGACUGUGAUUGUUUGAUUCAAAUAUGGGCAUGACAUUCUGCAUACAUGACAUGUUGCAAGGGUUGGGAUUUUGUACGGAGGAAGCGUUCUGGUGGCUAUGCCACAAAUAUCUGUUCUGGUGGCUCUGCCACAAUAUCUGUAUUUGGUGACUCUGUCACAAUAUCUGUUGACCAAUCGAUGGCUAAGUGCCGAUCACACUACCGAAGGCUGUGUGCCGUUGUUGUGGGCUUCGUGUCGAUUAUAGACCCGUUAUUAAUGGCUCUGUGCCAACCUAAAUAUGGCUUUGUGCCAUCUUGACUAUGGCUUCGUGCCAAACGUAUUUACCUAUAGCUAUGUGCCUAACAUAUUUGUUGAUGACUCUGUGUCGAUCAUAUUUACCGAAGGCUGUGCGCCAGUUAUAUUACCGUCACUGAUGGCUAUGUGCCGAAGUUAUUACAGUUAUCUAUGGCUUUGUGCCACGUAUUCUGUUAGGUGGGUUUGCUACAUUAUCUGAUACUGGUGGCUCUGCCACAAUAUCUGUAUCUGGUGACUCUGUCACGAUAUCUGUUCUGACAGCCAUGCUGCAAAUUCUGUGGUGUGUAGCGGAUGGGUGGGCCAAGUUGUCUCCCCACAUGGUGUAAGGUUGGUACAGGGAUGUAUACGGCUGGAUUGGGUUGGGAUUGUAUUCACAUUCUGAUUCUGAUUCUGUCACGUAAUUCUGAUUCUGAUUCUGUUACUAAUACUGAUUCUGAUUCUGAUUUUGAUUUUGAUUCUGUUACUGAUUCUGAUUCUGAUUCUGUCACGUAAUUCUGAUUCUGAUUCUGAUUCUGUUACUAAUACUGAUUCUGAUUCUGAUUCUGUCACCUAAUUCUGAUUCUGAUUUUGAUUCUGUUACUAAUAUUGAUUCUGAUUCUGAUUCUAUUACUGAUUCUGAUUCUGAUUCUCAUUUUGGUUCCAAUUCUGAUAAUGUUUCUUAUUCUGUAAUGGGCUAAGGUCCAUCUGGUACUGUCUGCUGUAAUGGGCUAAGACCCGAUUGGUACUGAAAUUGUAAGUAAGGCUGGGGCCAGACUUUUAAUUUUUUUAGAUGAUUGACUGUUCCUUUUUAUAGUAGGGGAUUUCACACUGAGUUUUCGUAAACUCACCCCGUUUAUUAACCUUUCAGGUACUUUCCAGCCUUAGAUGGAUCGGGGUUGCUAGGGGCUCGGAGGAAGCCACACACACUGUUUAUGUUACAGUUUUGAUUAUUACCUUUAAAUUAUUUUAUGUGGGUUUAGUAAAGCCGUUGUAAUUUUCUGGAUUUCAAAUUUGGAAUUUUAUUUAUUGUUCUUA
rnacentral:lncRNA from 1 species